CAGUCGCCACGGUAAUACGGAGGGAGCUAGCGUUGUUCGGAAUUACUGGGCGUAAAGCGUGCGUAGGCGGUUUGUUAAGUCUGUUGUGAAAUCCCCGGGCUCAACCUGGGAAUGGCAAUGGAUACUGGCAAGCUAGAGUGUGUCAGAGGAUGGUGGAAUUCCCGGUGUAGCGGUGAAAUGCGUAGAGAUCGGGAGGAACAUCAGUGGCGAAGGCGGCCAUCUGGGACAACACUGACGCUGAGGCACGAAAGCGUGGGGAGCAAACAGGAUUAGAUACCCCCGUAGUCCCUGUCUCUUAUAC
rnacentral:rRNA from 1 species